AUUGAACGCUGGCGGCAGGCCUAACACAUGCAAGUCGAACGAGUGGCGGACGGGUGAGUAAUGUCUGGGAAACUGCCUGAUGGAGGGGGAUAACUACUGGAAACGGUAGCUAAUACCGCAUACAAUCAGAUGUGCCCCGAUGGGAUGAGCUUGUUGGGGGGGUAAUGGCUCACCAAGGCGACGAUCCCUAGCUGGUCUGAGAGGAGGACCGGCCACCCUGGAAUGGAGACACGGCCCAGUGUCUUACGGGAGGCAGCAGGGGGAAUUAUGCCCAAAUGGGGGCAACCCGGAUGCAGCAAGCCCGCGUUGGUGAAGAGGUCCUUCGGUUUGUAAAGAACUUUCAGCGAGGAGGCUUUACCGGACGAGGAAGCACCGCCUAACUCCGUGCCAGCCGCCGCGGUAAUAC
rnacentral:rRNA from 1 species